rnacentral:rRNA from 1 species
AUUGAACGCUGGCGGCAGGCCUAACACAUGCAAGUCGAGCGGAUGAGAGGAGCUUGCUUCUCGAUUCAGCGGCGGAUGGGUGAGUAAUGCCUAGGAAUCUGCCUGGUAGUGGGGGACAACGUUUCGAAAGGAACGCUAAUACCGCAUACGUCCUACGGGAGAAAGCAGGGGACCUUCGGGCCUUGCGCUAUCAGAUGAGCCUAGGUCGGAUUAGCUAGUUGGUGAGGUAAUGGCUCACCAAGGCGACGAUCCGUAACUGGUCUGAGAGGAUGAUCAGUCACACUGGAACUGAGACACGGUCCAGACUCCUACGGGAGGCAGCAGUGGGGAAUAUUGGACAAUGGGCGAAAGCCUGAUCCAGCCAUGCCGCGUGUGUGAAGAAGGUCUUCGGAUUGUAAAGCACUUUAAGUUAGGAGGAAGGGUUGUAGAUUAAUACUCUGCAAUUUUGACGUUACCGACAGAAUAAGCACCGGCUAACUCUGUGCCAGCCGCCGCCGUAAUAC